rnacentral:rRNA from 1 species
AUGAACGCUAGCUACAGGCUUAACACAUGCAAGUCGAGGGGCAGCAUGGUCUUAGCUUGCUAAGGCCGAUGGCGACCGGCGCACGGGUGAGUAACACGUAUCCAACCUGCCGUCUACUCUUGGACAGCCUUCUGAAAGGAAGAUUAAUACAAGAUGGCAUCAUGAGUCCGCAUGUUCACAUGAUUAAAGGUAUUCCGGUAGACGAUGGGGAUGCGUUCCAUUAGAUAGUAGGCGGGGUAACGGCCCACCUAGUCUUCGAUGGAUAGGGGUUCUGAGAGGAAGGUCCCCCACAUUGGAACUGAGACACGGUCCAAACUCCUACGGGAGGCAGCAGUGAGGAAUAUUGGUCAAUGGGCGAGAGCCUGAACCAGCCAAGUAGCGUGAAGGAUGACUGCCCUAUGGGUUGUAAACUUCUUUUAUAAAGGAAUAAAGUCGGGUAUGGAUACCCGUUUGCAUGUACUUUAUGAAUAAGGAUCGGCUAACUCCGUGCCAGCAGCCGCGGUAAUACGGAGGAUCCGAGCGUUAUCCGGAUUUAUUGGGUUUAAAGGGAGCGUAGAUGGAUGUUUAAGUCAGUUGUGAAAGUUUGCGGCUCAACCGUAAAAUUGCAGUUGAUACUGGAUAUCUUGAGUGCAGUUGAGGCAGGCGGAAUUCGUGGUGUAGCGGUGAAAUGCUUAGAUAUCACGAAGAACUCCGAUUGCGAAGGCAGCCUGCUAAGCUGCAACUGACAUUGAGGCUCGAAAGUGUGGGUAUCAAACAGGAUUAGAUACCCUGGUAGUCCACACGGUAAACGAUGAAUACUCGCUGUUUGCGAUAUACUGCAAGCGGCCAAGCGAAAGCGUUAAGUAUUCCACCUGGGGAGUACGCCGGCAACGGUGAAACUCAAAGGAAUUGACGGGGGCCCGCACAAGCGGAGGAACAUGUGGUUUAAUUCGAUGAUACGCGAGGAACCUUACCCGGGCUUAAAUUGCAGAUGAAUUACGGUGAAAGCCGUAAGCCGCAAGGCAUCUGUGAAGGUGCUGCAUGGUUGUCGUCAGCUCGUGCCGUGAGGUGUCGGCUUAAGUGCCAUAACGAGCGCAACCCUUGUUGUCAGUUACUAACAGGUUCCGCUGAGGACUCUGACAAGACUGCCAUCGUAAGAUGUGAGGAAGGUGGGGAUGACGUCAAAUCAGCGCGGCCCUUACGUCCGGGGCUACACACGUGUUACAAUGGGGGGUACAGAGGGCCGCUACCACGCGAGUGGAUGCCAAUCCCCAAAACCUCUCUCAGUUCGGACUGGAGUCUGCAACCCGACUCCACGAAGCUGGAUUCGCUAGUAAUCGCGCAUCAGCCACGGCGCGGUGAAUACGUUCCCGGGCCUUGUACACACCGCCCGUCAAGCCAUGGGAGCCGGGGGUACCUGAAGUGCGUAACCGCGAGGAGCGCCCUAGGGUAAAACUGGUGACUGGGGCU